rnacentral:rRNA from 1 species
AACGAACGCUGGCGGCAGGCCUAACACAUGCAAGUCGAGCGAGGACUUCGGCUCUAGCGGCGGAAAGGUGGGUAACGCGGGGGAAUGUGCCCUUCUCUACGGAAUAGCCCUGGGAAACAGGGAGUAAUACAGUAUACGCCCCUUUGGGUAAAGAUUUAUCGGACAAGGGUCAGCUCGCGGUGGAUUAGGUAGUUGGUGGGGUAAUGGGCGACCAAGCCGACGAUUCAUAGCUGGUUUGAGAGGAUGAUGAGCGACACUGGGACUGAGACACGGCCCAGGCUCCUACGGGAGGCAGCAGUGGGGAAUCUUAGACAAGGGGGGCAACCCUGAUCAAGCCAUGCCGCGUGAGUGAUGAAGGCCUUAGGGUUGUAAAGCUCUUUCAGCUGGGAAGAUAAUGACGGUACCAGCAGAAGAAGCCCCGGCUAACUCCGUG